UCUUAAUUAAAGCAGUCUCCUCAGAGUCAGUGGUGGUAGCUUCCCGCCGCCGAAUCUUCUCCCUCCGUCUCGUCUUCUCUGGGGCUUCAAUCUUUCCACUGACAUUCAGGAGAACAUUAACUACAACUUUUUCGGGUUUAACCUGAGUCUGCAUCAAAGGAAGGAGGCCCUGAAGAUUCCUGAGGACUUGCAGGAUGAUGGCACUUCCAGUCGCUUGCCUUCAGGAGAGCAUUGGAAGGUCUUCAUAAAGACCAACAGGCCUUUCCUCUGCUCUCCUUCUGGACUCCAUCACUUCAGGACAAAGCUGGGACCACUUCUCAGGACUGACUUUUGGACUCUCUGA
rnacentral:lncRNA from 1 species